GAGAAUAAAUGCUUUAAAAAAAUAAGUUUAUAAGAAGCCCGAGUUAACGGAAGUUAAAAUAAAACGGGUUAUAACUCUCGGGACCCACUAAGUAACUAGGAAUAUCAACCUAGUUAGUUAAGUGUUUUAAAAUAAUGAAGGAACUUGAUAUAGUAACCUUUUUAUAACUUUUAGAAACUAGAGGGACUAAAAGGGUUAAGUGAGAAAAUAAUUAUUAUUAAAACAAAAAUUAAAAACCCAAAACACACACUUGGUGUGUGUUCUGGUCGUAGAUUACACAGGGGGCGAACAAGGUUUCUUCAACCAAACCCUAACUAGCUAAAAAUCAAGCAAUUGGAAGGCCAAAUCAGUCCCAAAUCGAAAUCCAAGCUUAUUUUAGUGAUCACCUAAGCGAAGGGAUCACAAGUUUGACUCUGACAAGCUUGGUAGGAGCUUGGAAAUGAAUGGGUCAAAUGGAUACAAGUUCAAGUAUGAAGCUCGCAAGGAUGCAAGGAGUGAACCGGAAAUGGAUAAUUGCGUCGCUAUAAAGUAACGGCUAAUAAAAGCAAGGUAUAAAACGAGUUUAUAUAUUGACCCGAGCCAGGUACGCAUAAACAAGCUUUUAGUUAAACGUACGAUUCUUGGUCAAUUAAUUAGCGAAAGUCCUUCAUUGUAAAAUGAAGGAUUAAAAUUGACCAAAAAGCCCUCAUUGGGUAAAGCGGGCAAACGAACCCUAGAGAUUGUUUAGGAACUUGUAUUAUGAUUAUGUAACCCUUUUGAUACGUAUAAGAAUAUAGGCAUAAACUUUCGUGGGUCAAAUGCCUAAGAAUGGGUCUUUUUAGUAAAAUGACUAACCGAAAAAUAAUACUCGGGAUAAUCGGUUUAUUGUAUUAAUUCACCACAAAAAUAGCUGUGGUGAAACAUAAGUAGACAUCUUAAAUGUAAAAAUGUGAAGUACGAAAAGAGAUGAGUGAAAUUGAUGCUUAAAUGCAUAAAAACCGUUAAACGGGUCAAAAUAAAGCAAGUGAUUAAGAUUGGCUAAGUGUUGGAAAAUUUCAAAAUAAACCGGUGAAUGUAAACACGAAUACAAACCUUGUAAUGGAAGCGAAAAUGCUAAUUUUUGGCAAGCACGGAAUGGGUAAAAACGAUCAGCAAUGAAUAUUGUUAAUAAACUUGUAGUAUGAUGUUAAAAGUAACGGGUCAAAUAAUCACACAAAGGAUUUUUAAGUCGUUUGCUUAUAAAUCAGAUUUUUAUGAAACCGAGGUGAUAAACGGAUUCGUAAUUUAAUUACGGAAGCAUGUAAAAAAAAGAAUUACGCGAAACGGACUUGUAGAUAAAAAGUAUGGAACUUGUUUAUACUUGUUUUUAAGUUAUCAAAACUAACCAUUAAGUUGGUUUUUGAUGUUAGGUGAAUGUAGCUACCAUCCGGGUGUCGAUCAAGCAAUGAAGUGAACCGAACACUAUGCAGUUACAAGCUUCCGCACAUAGUUUCGUCAUUAUUUUUAAACGACGAACUCAAUUAAUUACGUUGUAUUGUUCUUUAAUUGUAAAAGUUUUAAUAAACCCGUAUUUUUCAAUAUAUGUGUAUCCAUAAUUACAUAUUUAUUUUCGUAAACCA